rnacentral:rRNA from 1 species
UACGAAGGGGGGCUAGCGUUGUUCGGAAUUACUGGGCGUAAAGGGCGCGUAGGCGGUCCUGAUCGUCGGAUGUGAAAGGCCUGGGCUCAACCUGGGAACUGCAUUCGAGACUGAAUAGCUAGGGUACGGUAGAGGGAAGUGGAAUUUCCGGUGUAGCGGUGAAAUGCGUAGAUAUCGGAAGGAACAUCAGUGGCGAAAGCGACUUCCUGGACCAGUACCGACGUUCAGGCACGAAAGCGUGGGGAGCAAACAGG